ACGGAGGAUGCAAGCGUUAUCCGGAUUCAUUGGGUUUAAAGGGUGCGUAGGCGGACUAUUAAGUCAGUGGUGAAAUCCUGCAGCUUAACUGCAGAACUGCCAUUGAUACUGAUAGUCUUGAGUUUGGUUAAGGUAGGCGGAAUGUGUAAUGUAGCGGUGAAAUGCUUAGAUAUUACACAGAACACCGAUUGCGUAGGCAGCUUACUGAGCCGACACUGACGCUGAGGCACGAAAGCGUGGGGAUCGAACAGGAUUAGAUACCCUGGUAGUCCACGCCGUAAACGAUGAUUACUCGCUGUUGGCGAUACACUGUCAGCGGCUAAGCAAAAGCAAUAAGUAAUCCACCUGGGGAGUACGACCGCAAGGUUG
rnacentral:rRNA from 1 species